CUUAGUAGCGGCGAGUGAAGCGGCAAAAGCUCAAAUUUGAAAUCUGGCGCCUUCGGUGUCCGAGUUGUAAUUUGAAGAUUGUAACCUUGGGGUUGGCUCUUGUCUAUGUUUCUUGGAACAGGACGUCACAGAGGGUGAGAAUCCCGUGCGAUGAGAUGCCCAAUUCUAUGUAAGGUGCUUUCGAAGAGUCGAGUUGUUUGGGAAUGCAGCUCUAAGUGGGUGGUAAAUUCCAUCUAAAGCUAAAUAUUGGCGAGAGACCGAUAGCGAACAAGUACAGUGAUGGAAAGAUGAAAAGAACUUUGAAAAGAGAGUGAAAAAGUACGUGAAAUUGUUGAAAGGGAAGGGUUUGAGAUCAGACUCGAUAUUUUGUGAGCCUUGCCUUCGUGGCGGGGUGACCCGCAGCUUAUCGGGCCAGCAUCGGUUUGGGCGGUAGGAUAAUGGCGUAGGAAUGUGACUUUACUUCGGUGAAGUGUUAUAGCCUGCGUUGAUGCUGCCUGCCUAGACCGAGGACUGCGAUUUUAUCAAGGA
rnacentral:rRNA from 1 species